CCCACCAGCCCCCCUCCCCCCCUUGCCACUUGGGCCAGACAGCAAAAGCCACUUCGGCUAAACUUCGUUCUUCAGCGUUACGGGGGGAAAAGGUCCGAGAUCAGACUCGCUCUUGGGAGGGACGGCUAAGGCCAGAGCUUUGGAUCAUCUGUACAUUUGAUAAGCAUGCCAUCUAUGCCUUUAUUCAAAUCACCGAUAAAAACAUUCGACAUCUGGGACACUUCACUAGAGAUCUACUUCCAAAUCACUGAAUCAUUGGGUCCAUUGGAACUUUGGCUGUUUAGGUCUAGUCACUCCACCAGUACUGAAUCCACUUCACCAUACUCAUCUAGUCCACAAAGCCAGACAGGCUCCUCCCCACCUCCAAAGGUCUCCCCAGUGAUGCCUCCUCUGGCGGCCUCCCUCCCUCCUUUGUGUCAAGCCUUGCCCUGUCCCUGCGGUCCCAGGCUUCAGGAAGGUGGCUCCAGUUCUGGCUGGGGGUCCUGGACACGGAAAAGCUCUCCCAUGGGCCAGGCACAGAAGCUGAUCGGGCCACUGUUGUCCUUAAGGCAGAAGAAACGCGGCAGGUUUUUGGUGAGUUUCUCCAGCGAGAUGGCAAGCUCUGGAGGGGGCCAAUCUUCUAGUUUCCAUCGCUUCCCAGUUCAAUAGUUCCAAAUCUAGUGCCCCGCCUGUAGUGAGUCCUCCUUGGGAUUUGCUGGUUAAUCAACACGUCAGUGGCACACAACCACCACAUUCUGUACAUCCUGCCUCUUAACUGCAGCCUGUCGCACUCACGUCACCUAUGUCACAAGUAUGGAGAAGAUUUGAUUUCUGAACAACUUUGUCUGCAUCUCACCUUCCUGCCAACUUCUGCUCUAGUUGGAGGGCUUUUUAGCUGCCUUUUUUACGCUACAACUACAAUCUGUGACACUUGAAAGGUUUGCUAACAAUUGUAAAGUGCUUAGCACAAUGCCUGGCAUUUAAUAAGUGCUAUAUGAAGGUUAGCCGUUACCAUCACUAUCAUUAUCCCUGAGCCUGGCAUGUAGUAAGUGCUAUCCAAAUAUGAGCAGUUGUUAUUAUCUUAUAUUCUCCUUGGGUUUCCGCAGGUCCUCCUCUCCCAGAUACGAAUGACUUGUAAACACAGUGCUUGGCACAUAGUAGGCACAAUUAACAAGUGCCAGUUAAUGAGACUUAUAAAUGAACUAGGGAAACUACUGUUUUAAAAGCAAAACUAACUUUACCCCCAAUAUAAUGGUGAAGCAAAA